GACGAACGCUGGCGGCGUGCUUAACACAUGCAAGUCGAACGCUGAAGCUUGGUGCUUGCACUGAGUGGAUGAGUGGCGAACGGGUGAGUAAUACGUGAGUAACCUGCCCUUGACUCUGGGAUAAGCCUGGGAAACUGGGUCUAAUACUGGAUACGACAUGCCACUGCAUGGUGGUUUGUGGAAAGGGUUUUACUGGUUUUGGAUGGGCUCAGGGCCUAUCAGCUUGUUGGUGGGGUAAUGGCCUACCAAGGCGACGACGGGUAGCCGGCCUGAGAGGGUUACCGGCCACACUGGGACUGAGACACGGCCCAGAGUCCUACGGGAGGCAGCAGGGGGGAAUAUUGCACAAUGGGCGGAAGCCUGAUGCAGAGACGCCGCGUGAGGGAUGACGGCCUUCGGGUUGUAAACCUCUUUCAGUACGGAAGAAGCGAGAGUGACGGUACGUGCAGAAGAAGCGCCGGCUAACUACGUG
rnacentral:rRNA from 1 species